rnacentral:RNase_P_RNA from 1 species
AGAGUUGGUUAGGCAAUCGCUCUUUGUGCAUACAAAGGGAGGAAAGUCCGGGCUCCAAAGGGCAAGGUGCCAGGUAACGCCUGGGAGGUGUAAGCCUACGGAAAGUGCCACAGAAAAUAUACCGCCUAUAUUCUAUCUCGAUAGGAUAUAGGUAAGGGUGAAAUGGUGCGGUAAGAGCGCACCGCACGAUUGGCAACAGUCGUGGCAGGGAAAACCCCACCUGGAGCAAGACCAAAUAGGAAUCCAUUGACAUUGUCAGAGCAUGCGGCCCGCAUGGGAUUCGGGUAGGUCGCUUGAGGCAUGUGGUGACAUGUGCCCUAGAUGAAUGAUUGUCCACGACAGAACCCGGCUUACCGACCAACUCGUUUU